rnacentral:rRNA from 1 species
GACUGACACUCCUACGGGAGGCAGCAGUGGGGAAUAUUGCACAAUGGGGGAAACCCUGAUGCAGCCAUGCCGCGUGUGUGAAGAAGGCCUUCGGGUUGUAAAGCACUUUCAGUAGGGAGGAAGGUAGUGUAGUUAACACCUGCACUAUUUGACGUUACCUACAGAAGAAGCACCGGCUAACUCCGUGCCAGCAGCCGCGGUAAUACGGAGGGUGCGAGCGUUAAUCGGAAUUACUGGGCGUAAAGCGCAUGCAGGCGGCCUGUUAAGUCAGAUGUGAAAGCCCCGGGGCUUAACCUCGGAAUUGCAUUUGAAACUGGCAGGCUAGAGUCUUGUAGAGGGGGUAGAAUUUCAGGUGUAGCGGUGAAAUGCGUAGAGAUCUGAAGGAAUACCAGUGGCGAAGGCGGCCCCCUGGACAAAGACUGACGCUCAGAUGCGAAAGCGUGGGGAGCAAACAGGAUUAGAUACCCUGGUAG